GCUCAAUAGUUUCAGGAAAACUCUAUUAGUCAGUUAGUGAAUGAUCAUUGUUUCUUUUGGUAUUUUAUAGGUUGGGAGAUGUUGGAGGAUGCAGCGAGCUCUGUUUUUGUAUCACUACCUUUGCUUCUUGGGGCAAUUUGGAGUCAUGGCCCUCCUGUGUCUGAAUUUUAGUUCUCCUCAUGGAUGACCUACAAUCAGGUCUGUAAGUCAUGGCAUGCCAGAGUUUUGAUGUGACUUCUGACAAGACACUCGUCCCACACAGAAGCCACGGAGAGAGCUCAGGAAGUUGGUCAUCAUCGCUGAGCUGGGAACUUCACUUCCGGCCCACUCCCCAGUCUCCAGACCCGGCUCUUAGAAAACCCACAAGCAGCAGCUCCUCCUCCGGAGCCAAUCAAGACCAGGCCUACAGAGUACUGAAGCCCUGGUCCAUAGACUUGCCACGUGAUUUCCCCUCCCCUUAGGUCACCCAGGGAUGCUUUGCUCAUUAAACCUGGACUUUCAA